UACGAGGGGGGCAAAUGUUGUUCGGAAUCACUGGGCGUAAAGGGAGCGUAGGCGGGUUUCUAAGUCAGGUGUUUAAUCCCGGGGCCCAACCCCCGGACAGGCACUUGAAACUGGGAAUCUUGAAUAGUGGAGAGGUCAGUGGAAUUGGGGGUGUAGCGGUGGAAUGCGUAGAGAUCCCCAAGAACACCAGUUGCGAAGGCGGCUGACUGGACACAUAUUGACGCUGAGGCUCGAAAGCAUGGGGAGCAAACAGG
rnacentral:rRNA from 1 species